CACGAGAACAGGGCCAGUGCUGCCAAGGAUGGUGAGAGGUUGGCCAGCAAAGAGGGAAUACACAACGCCAGUCAUGGACGCGCCCAGCAGUGACUCCAUGGCGCUUAUGUGGCCAUCAGUCGCCUCCCCCAGCAGCCCCCCGAAGGUGAUGACAGGGGACAUGCAGGCGCAGUAGAGGAAGAGGAAGGAUGCCAGGCACUGCAGACUCAGCGCAUCCCGAAAGUCGC
rnacentral:lncRNA from 1 species